GAUGAACGCUGGCGGCGUGCCUAAUACAUGCAAGUCGAGCGAACGGACGAUAAGCUUGCUUUUCUGAUGUUAGCGGCGGACGGGUGAGUAACACGUGGAUAACCUACCUAUAAGACUGGGAUAACUUCGGGAAACCGGAGCUAAUACCGGAUAAUAUUUUGAACCACAUGGUUCAAAAGUGAAAGACGGUCUUGCUGUCACUUAUAGAUGGAUCCGCGCUGCAUUAGCUAGUUGGUAAGGUAACGGCUUACCAAGGCAACGAUGCAUAGCCGACCUGAGAGGGUGAUCGGCCACACUGGAACUGAGACACGGUCCAGACUCCUACGGGAGGCAGCAGUAGGGAAUCUUCCGCAAUGGGCGAAAGCCUGACGGAGCAACGCCGCGUGAGUGAUGAAGGUCUUCGGAUCGUAAAACUCUGUUAUUAGGGAAGAACAUAUGUGUAAGUAACUGUGCACAUCUUGACGGUACCUAAUCAGAAAGCCACGGCUAACUACGUG
rnacentral:rRNA from 1 species